CCUACGGGCGGCAGCAGUGAGGAAUAUUGGUCAAUGGGCGCAAGCCUGAACCAGCCAAGUCGCGUGAGGGAUGACGGUCCUAUGGAUUGUAAACCUCUUUUGUCGGGGAGCAAGGCCCGCCACGUGUGGCGGGAAGGAGAGUACCCGAAGAAAAAGCAUCGGCUAACUCCGUGCCAGCAGCCGCGGUAAUACGGAGGAUGCGAGCGUUAUCCGGAUUUAUUGGGCGUAAAGGGAGCGUAGGCGGCCUGCCAAGUCUGAUGGGAAAUACCGGGGCUCAACCCCGGGGCUGCAUUGGAAACUGGCAGGCUGGAGUGCCGGAGAGGCAGGCGGAAUUCCUAGUGUAGCGGUGAAAUGCGUAGAUAUUAGGAGGAACACCAGUGGCGAAGGCGGCCUGCUGGACGGUGACUGACGCUGAGGCUCGAAAGCGUGGGGAGCAAACAGGAUUAGAUACCCUUGUAGUC
rnacentral:rRNA from 1 species